AUUGAACGCUGGCGGCAUGCCUUACACAUGCAAGUCGAACGGCAGCACGGGAGCAAUCCUGGUGGCGAGUGGCGAACGGGUGAGUAAAGUAUCGGAACGUGCCCAGUCGUGGGGGAUAACGUAGCGAAAGUUACGCUAAUACCGCAUACGAUCUAUGGAUGAAAGCGGGGGAUCGCAAGACCUCGCGCGAUUGGAGCGGCCGAUAUCAGGUUAGGUAGUUGGUGGGGUAAAGGCCCACCAAGCCGACGAGCUGUAGCUGGUCUGAGAGGACGACCGGCAAAACGGGGACUGAGACACGGCCCAGACUCCUCCGGGAGGCAGCGGGGGGGAAUUUUGGACAAUGGGCGAAAGCCUGAUCCAGCCAUGCCGCGGGCAGGAUGAAGGCCUUCGGGUUGUAAACUGCUUUUGUACGGAACGAAAAGGACUGCCCUAAUACGGUGGUCCCAUGACGGUACCGUAAGAAUAAGCACCGGCUAACUACGUGCCAGCAGCCGCCGUAAUAC
rnacentral:rRNA from 1 species